rnacentral:rRNA from 1 species
CCAAACUGUUGCCUCGGCGGGAUCUCUGCCCCGGGUGCGUCGCAGCCCCGGACCAAGGCGCCCGCCGGAGGACCAACCAAAACUCUUUUUGUAUACCCCCUCGCGGGUUUUUUUAUAAUCUGAGCCUUCUCGGCGCCUCUCGUAGGCGUUUCGAAAAUGAAUCAAAACUUUCAACAACGGAUCUCUUGGUUCUGGCAUCGAUGAAGAACGCAGCGAAAUGCGAUAAGUAAUGUGAAUUGCAGAAUUCAGUGAAUCAUCGAAUCUUUGAACGCACAUUGCGCCCGCCAGUAUUCUGGCGGGCAUGCCUGUCCGAGCGUCAUUUCAACCCUCGAACCCCUCCGGGGGGUCGGCGUUGGGGAUCGGCCCUGCCUUUUGGCGGUGGCCGUCUCCGAAAUACAGUGGCGGUCUCGCCGCAGCCUCUCCUGCGCAGUAGUUUGCACACUCGCAUCGGGAGCGCGGCGCGUCCACAGCCGUUAAACACCCAACUUCUGAAAUGUUGACCUCGGAUCAGGUAGGAAUACCCGCUGAACUUAAGCAUAUCAAUAAGCGGAGGAA